GAUGAACGCUAGCGGCAGGCUUAAUACAUGCAAGUCGAACGGUAACAUGAGUAGCAAUACUUGAUGACGAGUGGCGCACGGGUGCGUAACGCGUAUGCAAUCUACCUUCAACUGGUGAAUAGCCCGAAGAAAUUCGGAUUAACGCACCAUAGUAUAUUAGAGUGGCAUCACUUUAAUAUUAAAACUCCGGUGGUUGAAGAUGAGCAUGCGUGACAUUAGCUAGUUGGUGAGGUAAUGGCUCACCAAGGCUACGAUGUCUAGGGGAUCUGAGAGGAUUAACCCCCACACU
rnacentral:rRNA from 1 species